rnacentral:rRNA from 1 species
GGGUUGUGAGGUUAAGCGACUAAGCGUACACGGUGGAUGCCCUGGCAGUCAGAGGCGAUGAAGGGCGUGCUAAUCUGCGAUAAGCGCCGGUAAGGUGAUAUGAACCGUUAUAACCGGCGAUACCCGAAUGGGGAAACCCAGUGUGAUUCGUCACACUAUCAUUAACUGAAUCCAUAGGUUAAUGAGGCGAACCGGGGGAACUGAAACAUCUAAGUACCCCGAGGAAAAGAAAUCAACCGAGAUUCCCCCAGUAGCGGCGAGCGAACGGGGAGGAGCCCAGAGCCUGAAUCAGCAUGUGUGUUAGUGGAAGCGUCUGGAAAGGCGCGCGAUACAGGGUGACAGCCCCGUACACAAAAGCGCAUGUGCUGUGAGCUCGAUGAGUAGGGCGGGACACGUGGUAUCCUGUCUGAAUAUGGGGGGACCAUCCUCCAAGGCUAAAUACUCCUGACUGACCGAUAGUGAACCAGUACCGUGAGGGAAAGGCGAAAAGAACCCCGGCGAGGGGAGUGAAAAAGAACCUGAAACCGUGUACGUACAAGCAGUGGGAGCCCCACCACCAAAGCAUUUGCUGUACCGCGUUGACGGAGCGAAGCGACGUCAAACCGAUAA